UCGGGAAUAUUGCGCAAUGGAGGAAACUCUGACGCAGUGACGCCGCGUGCAGGAAGAAGGUUUUCGGAUUGUAAACUGCUUUAGACAGGGAAGAUAAAAGACAGUACCUGUAGAAUAAGCUCCGGCUAACUACGUGCCAGCAGCCGCGGUAAUACGUAGGGAGCAAGCGUUAUCCGGAUUUAUUGGGUGUAAAGGGUGCGUAGACGGGAAGUUAAGUUAGUUGUGAAAUCCCACGGCUCAACUGUGGAACUGCAACUAAAACUGAUUUUCUUGAGUGCUGGAGAGGAAAGUGGAAUUCCUAGUGUAGCGGUGAAAUGCGUAGAUAUUAGGAGGAACACCAGUGGCGAAGGCGACUUUCUGGACAGAAACUGACGUUGAGGCACGAAAGUGUGGGGAGCAAACAGG
rnacentral:rRNA from 2 species